UACUGAUGAGAGAGAAUAGAAUGCAUAAGCUACAAAGAGUUGAGAUUCAGUCAAAGGCCCCCCAUUUAUGUAACUAUUCUGGUCUCUAGCUGCAUUUUCCUUAGGCUUGUGUAGAAGCAUCUUGUAUGCUCAAGUUCUAAUCUAGGCCUGAAGGUUACUGGGAAAGAUGUAACAGCUAUUUGUACUUUCUUUUCUAUACAUUUAUUCUAGAUUCUAGAUUAUCCAUUAAUUUUAGGGUUUCUGGAUAUGCAACCUUAAGUACAAGGAAUUGUUUCUUCUUCCUUCCCAAGAGUAAUAUGCUAAUUUUCAUUUUUUGUCUAAUUUGCAUUAGCUGGGACUUCAGACCAAUGCUAAGCAAAGUAAGAAAGAAUGGAUAUCCUGGAUUUGUUCCUGAAUUCUCAUGUUCCAGCAUGAAUUAUGGCCAUCAGAAGUAAAAAACAUACAAUUGUCUUGACUUCAGUCUGUUGCUUGCUGUCGGGUACUAACAGUGAAUGGAAAUUUCCAUCCAGCCUAACACUGACUGAUUCCGAGGACACAUGGGUGCCCAUGUUGCUCUGUUUGCCACAGUGAUUACCCACCGUCACUCCGGCUUCUGAGACCAUAUCGGAGCCUACAGACUCUCACUCCGGUCUGCUGUCAUCACAAAUGCCAAACAUUUACCAAAAGUGCCAAGUCUCUGGACCCAUGUGCUUAGCUCAUUUUGAAAACAGAACUGGACUUUUUGCCCAGAACCAGAAAAACAUUGAAAACAUAAAACAACAAAAAUCCGUGGUGUGUUUAUUAAAAGCAAAGAUUCUAACCCUGAUCUAAACCAGACUGUUUUCUUCCUGGCUCCCUCCC